UUCACUUAUCGACCUCGUGUGCGUGGUGAAUUCAAUUUAGCUCUUCCCUUAUUCAUGUUAUUUUACUACUAAUGGAUGUCUACUUGGAUCAGACUAGAACUACUAGAAAGUAGAUGUAAACAAUUACAUAUCGUGCUGCGACUUGCGCGUCAAGUAGGUAAACGGCAAAAAUAAUGCCAAAGACAUACCUACAUAUAAGACUUAUAUCUAUGGCCAAAGACAAAAUUAUUGGUCCCAAUUUUUAAGUCAAUGUUCGCAUUCGCGAAUGUAUAAGAAAUGAAAUUCGUUACAUCAUUAGUACCUACCCACUUUAAUAUGUUUUUUUGUAGAAGCUCCAGUAUCUGCCAUAGAAAAGAUACUUACAGUAGGUACUUAUAUAUGGAUACUUACAAAAUGUUUGAUUACACAUGAUAGCAGAUAUUUUAGAUCGCUGCACGAAAACCAGGAACGGUGAAGGUGUUCAGCCUCUGAAAAUAGUUGAAUAAACGACAAAAACACUUUUCCUCAUCAUUGGGUAUAUCAUACCUAUAUUAUGUAUUUUCCUGUGGCCACAAACUUUAUUGCCGACUAAACACUGUCCAGGUUUGGAAAAGUAGGAGUAGGAACGGGGUGGUUUUCAGUCAGUAAGUCUGACACUCCCUCUCGCCUCGCCCAAGGCGGGCGAAGUCAUAAGAUGUCCCCGGUCCAGGUCCAGGUAGACGCUUGGUAUUUUGUGACUUAUUACUUUCCUGGCUAUCUUAUUCCUACUCCUACAGGUACCUGCUAUGCUUACCAUCCCCAAACUAUAUUUGCUUUUUCAAAUAAUCAGGUAGAUAACCAAUUUAGAAAUAACUAAAUCAAGAAAUAAUAUCGGUUGAUUUGGCUCCACAUUAAUUUUAAAACCUGGGGGCCUAGACAAAAUCCAAGCGUUUUCCGCACAAUCGUUUUCCGUUCACGCUAAGGACUUUGCGUUAGCGUGUCGAAAAUGGUAGACAAGUUACAAAUGGAACGCGAAACGCUCAUUCCGCAGCGUUAACCGAAACACUCUAUAAUUAGGCUAUGGAAUAGCGUUUGUAAAUGUUACAGCGACAUUAUUGCGCUGUCAAUGUCAAACACAACAUACGCGGGAUAACAAAAUUAUUCAAAAGUUUUGUGUGUUGGAACUUGGAAGUGAUUGAAGAGUAAAUUAUUACAAAGAAAGUAAGUAAACAUGUUUAAAUAACAAUUCAAGUAAAUGUAAGAACUGUAAGAUUACAGUUCUACUGUAAUCUUACAGUUCAGUAGGUACUAGUUAGUAUCUUUAUAAUGUAAUAAAAUAGUUUUAUUGCGAUGAGUAUUCAAAUCAAUCCACCCCGAAGGCUACCCACUGACCUAAUAUUUUUUUAAAUUUUAGAUGGAAUCUAGACUUCGUGCGAGUCCCGAGCAAUUUAGUUUACUAAUAGAAUUUAUGGAAAGCCAUGGUGAUCUUUCAAGGCCUCAAAUGGGACUUCAAGGAAAGGUUCGGAGUGAAGGUUUGUGGCAGGAAUUGGCAGAAAUUUUAAAUGCAGUGGGUGGUGGUAUUAACAAAACAGCUGACAAAUGGAAAAGGGUAUGGUCUGACUGGAAGACCAAAACAAAAAAGAAGGCCUCUGUUAUAAAUCGGGACAUCCAUGGUACUGGUGGUGGGCCCAGUAGGGGAAAACCAUUGAGUCGUCUUGAGGAAAGGGUGUUAAGAAUAAUUGGGGUCAGCUCAAUUACUGGUAAUCAAGCUGUACAAGAAGCAGGCUUUCAAGAAGAACCUCAACCUCAAGUAAGACAUGCAGCUGAUACAACAGACACGGUACCAUCACUAGUGGAUGAGACAGAGUUCACUAUAAUAGAAAUAGCUCCAGAAAGUACAUCCACAUCAGUGCCUGUGCCGGAUAUUACUGUUCCACCUAAUCGUCCUGACAGUCCUGUGCCAGGCCCUUCAAAUUGUAGAACUGUACAAAGAGAAAGAUCGCCUAUAUCCCCCGGCGCUUCUACUCCGCGUCGUCACCGUGUCAGACAGCGAAGACUCCGCCAAACACCGUUCGACCGAGCCACUAGCGAGUUUGUUGCAAUAGAGAAGAACCGGUUGCGUUUGGAACAGGAGAGGGAAACUCGCCAACACAAUUUGGACAUGGAGCGAUUAAAAAUAGAAGCAGAGCGGGUGAAAAUGGAGGCAGAUCGCGUCCGGGUCGAAGAAGCCCGUUUGGCCAUAGAGGCAGACCUACUAGCCUCAAAUCAAACACUAAGUUCUCAAAUCACAAGUCUAAUUUCCUUAUUGGAGACUCGUGAUUUGAGACCAAGUUAGUUAUUAUACAAAAAAAAGAUGUUCUAACUAGUAUUAAUACUUACUGUGAUUUUAGUUUUUUUUUGCACUGUGCAAAUUUUUUAGAUUUAAGUUAUUAUGAUUUUGCAUGUAGUUAGUUAAUAUACAAAAAAAAGAUGAUUUAUCUAGUAUUCAAUACUUACUGUGAUUUUAUUUUUUUUUACACUGUUAUAAUUUUUUAGAUUUAAGUUAUUAUGAUUUUGCAUGUAUGUAGUUGGUAAAUAUACAAAAAGGUAAUUUAAACUACUAAAAAACCCGACUGUUUUUAUUUAUUAUUUUAUCUUCUAGAAUUAGGUUUUAG